rnacentral:rRNA from 1 species
CACGUAGGGACCGAGCGUUGUCCGGAUUCAUUGGGCGUAAAGAGCUCGUAGGCGGUUGGGUAAGUCGGGUGUGAAAUCUCCGGGCUCAACUCGGAGGGGCCACCCGAUACUGCACGACUCGAGUCCGGUAGGGGAGUGGGGAAUUCCUGGUGUAGCGGUGAAAUGCGCAGAUAUCAGGAGGAACACCGGUGGCGAAGGCGGUUCUCUGGGACGGUACUGACGCUGAGACGCGAAAGCGUGGGGAGCAAACAGG